rnacentral:rRNA from 1 species
UAUAAGUUAAACGGCCGCGGUAUUUUGACCGUGCAAAGGUAGCGCAAUCACUUGUCUUUUAAAUGAAGACCUGUAUGAAUGGUGGAACGAGGGCUUGACUGUCUCCCUCAUCUAGUCAAUGAAAUUGAUCUACCCGUGCAGAAGCGGGUAUUAUAAUACAAGACGAGAAGACCCUUUGGAGCUUAAGACAAAAGACCAACUAUGUCAAGAGUACUAAAAAUGAAACUAAACCCAAUAACACUGGUCCCAGUCUUCGGUUGGGGUGACCGCGGGAGAAAAUUAAGCUCCCAUGUGGACUGGGGCAACCCCCCAAAACUAAGAAAGACAUCUCUAAGGCACAGAACAUCUGACCAUAAAGAUCCGGCUAUGCGCCGACCAACGGACCAAGUUACCCUAGGGAUAACAGCGCAAUCCCCUUCCAGAGUCCC